rnacentral:lncRNA from 1 species
ACCCCUUCAGCAGACGCACGCUUCGAGAACACAGCUCAGCGAACACGCCGACACCCCCCACCCAGUCGCUUUCUCAGCGCUUGGCUGUUUCUGAAACCGGCGUGGCUGCUCUCGCUGUCAGCCAAACCGAGAGGAAGACUGCAGCCCUGUCUCUUUAAGUAGUGACAUGCUAAUUGUACAACCGCAGAACAGAUAAGGAGCAGGGCUGGAGCCAUUUACUCGGGAGAAAUUGGGAGGAUCAGGGGUGACCAGGAGCUGUAGUUCCAGGUAACUGACAAACCUUUCGGGGACCGACAGUAGGGCGGGUUUUUACAAUCUGACGUUUGUGUGCUUUGCUGGAACAACAGGCCCGCAGCCUGUGGCUGGAGGUGUUCCUCCUGCCACUAGCUGCUGGAAGGAGGAAGCACAGGCUGAG